AGAGUUUGAUCCUGGCUCAGAUUGAACGCUGGCGGCAUGCUUUACACAUGCAAGUCGAACGGCAGCACGGGUGCUUGCACCUGGUGGCGAGUGGCGAACGGGUGAGUAAUGUAUCGGAACAUAUCCGGAAGUGGGGGAUAACGUAGCGAAAGUUACGCUAAUACCGCAUAUGCCCUGAGGGGGAAAGGUGGGGAUCGCAAGACCUAUCGCUUUCGGAGUGGCCGAUAUCAGAUUAGCUAGUUGGUGGGGUAAAGGCCUACCAAGGCGACGAUCUGUAGCUGGUCUGAGAGGACGACCAGCCACACUGGGACUGAGACACGGCCCAGACUCCUACGGGAGGCAGCAGUGGGGAAUUUUGGACAAUGGGGGCAACCCUGAUCCAGCCAUGCCGCGUGAGUGAAGAAGGCCUUCGGGUUGUAAAGCUCUUUCAGCCGGAAAGAAAUCGCCAUUCCUAAUACGAGUGGUGGAUGACGGUACCGGAAGAAGAAGCACCGGCUAACUACGUGCCAGCAGCCGCGGUAAUACGUAGGGUGCGAGCGUUAAUCGGAAUUACUGGGCGUAAAGCGUGCGCAGGCGGUUUUGUAAGACAGGCGUGAAAUCCCCGGGCUUAACCUGGGAACUGCGUUUGUGACUGCAAGGCUAGAGUGUGGCAGAGGGGGGUAGAAUUCCGCGUGUAGCAGUGAGAUGCGUAGAUAUGCGGAGGAAUACCGAUGGCGAAGGCAGCCCCCUGGGUCAACACUGACGCUCAUGCACGAAAGCGUGGGGGAGCAAACAGGAUUAGAUACCCUGGUAGUCCACGC
rnacentral:rRNA from 1 species